rnacentral:rRNA from 1 species
AGAGUUUGAUCAUGGCUACAGAACGAACGCUGGCGGCAGGCUUAACACAUGCAAGUCGAACGGUUGUAGCAAUACAGCAGUGGCGCACGGGUGAGUAACGCGUGGGAACGUGCCUUGAAGUUGGGAAUAACGUCGGGAAACUGACGCUAAUACCCGAUACGCCCUCCGGGGGAAAGAUUUAUCGCUUCAAGAUCGGCCCGCGUUAGAUUAGCUAGUUGGUGGGGUAAUGGCCUACCAAGGCUCCGAUCUAUAGCUGGUCUGAGAGGAUGACCAGCCACACUGGAACUGAGACACGGUCCAGACUCCUACGGGAGGCAGCAGUGGGGAAUAUUGGACAAUGGGGGAAACCCUGAUCCAGCCAUGCCGCGUGAGUGAUGAAGGCCUUAGGGUUGUAAAGCUCUUUUGUCAGGGAAGAUGAUGACGGUACCUGAAGAAUAAGCACCGGCUAACUUCGUG